rnacentral:lncRNA from 1 species
CUUUUUCUUGCCUCUUUAGCCAUCUAACCCCUUUCUCUUGUUCUUCAUCUAGGUAUUUAUAUUUUUUAAGGUUCCUCAAGGGUUAGGGUAUAAUUUUUGGGCCGAAAAGAUACUUAAAAACUCGGGUUUUAACGUUUUGGGAACAGGUGCCAUGGCGCCUAGGUCUGGUGCCGUGGCACCAUAGUUUCUGCUUCAGUUUCAUCUUUUUUUCAGCUCCAAGGUGCCAGUGCCACUGCUUUGCUUCUCUUCUCUUAGUUUUUUCAAGCCUAUUUUUCACUCCAAUCUUAUUCAAUACUUGCUUAUUAAUGCUCCAUUUCAUUGAUAAUCAUUUUUGCUCAUCACCGGCUCCCAAUAGUGGUAUUUUCUCGAGAGUUGUCCAAACUACAAAACAACACUAACACACACAUCAAAACGUUCAAAAAUGCUCAAGAACACAUCAAAAAAAGGUGAUUUAGAAGCUUUAGUUUAAUGAGUGAAUUACACUCAUCAAACACCCCCAAACUUAGUUCUUUACUUGUCCUCGAGCAAACACAAAACUAAAGAUAAUUAUUAACGAGCACAAAAACACGACUAAGACAGAUAAAGUCACUCAAAGAAACUUUAUGUUAGACACCUUGCAUUUAUAGCUCAAGAUUAAAAACACAGCGUCACAUUCAUGAAGUACUUCAAAACUAUAACGCACGCAUCAAAUCCUCGCUCAUUCAAUGCAAAUGGGUGUGUGUGUGGAGAGUUAAGCAUAACGCUGUACAAUAAUAAAUUGACCUAAUUUUCGACCUUAAAAGUCAAAUAUUUCCUUGCUUCGCUCGUGGGAUUCACACACCCCCAAACUUGUUUUCUUUUCUCUUUCCAAAUUGUAUUCUUAAGUUGAUUUUUUUUUCAAUGAUAAUUUCUUACAUCACUCAAGUUUGGUUAGAUUUCACUAUUGCAGUUCAACCUAUCAACAGAUGAGGCUUCUCCUUAUUUUUGAUUGCUUCAACCUCUAGGAAUCAACCAAGUUAUCAACCUCUCCUCAAAGGUUUAAUAAUCUAAAACAAGUGUUCGGGGCUUAAUCAAAGUAUGUGAUAUAUAAUUUUUUUUAUAUGUAUUAUUUAAAUACCCUUUGUGUGGACGUCACUCCCUCAAGAUUUCUAAAUGACCCUUGUAACGAGCUUUAGGCCGAUAACUCUCAAAUCAGACGACUUUAGGGCACCAGGUUUUAAACCCUUACAGGCUUAAUCACUCGAGUCAUAAAGGCUACGAAGAGACGAUUCACAAUGAGAUUAUUAAAGUUGUCCUUAUUGGGAUCUUUUUUUGUGUAAUGAUUAGUGCAAUGCCUCUUAUUAAACACUUAUUCUCGAAAAUCGACCUCUAACUUAAAGUUUUCACCCAAUUUUCAUCCUAUUAGUCUCAAACAAUCCACACAAAAUUUAGCACACAUGGAAUCCACAUUUAUCUCCAAAUUUUCCUGCAACAGCUUAACCUACCAAACAACAUAUAUUUGGUUUAAGGGUAUAAUAGUGUUUAAAUGUUGUUUGAGUUUAGCAUCUAAGUUCUCUUAUUCAACCUAUAAACAUAGAUCAACCUACUCAUGUACAACGUUACAAUCAACCCACGUGCAAAAAUAAUUUCCGUUUCACACGAAUAAGCAAAAAUCUAACUCACACAUAUAACUUAUCCAUAAUCCAUGAACCAAUACAUGUUCUUAAUAUUAUACAUCAUUGUCAGCAAGGCUAUCUAACUCACACAAGCAUGCAAAACACGAAAUGAUUUUUUUUUAAUUUGACAAUGCACACAAAUAAAAAUUAAAUAAAUAAAUAAUAAAAAAACAAACAAAUAAUUUUAAAAAAAAACACACAAAUCAAAAAAUUUGCAUACAAAUCAGACAAAACCAAAAUUUUUUGGCAAUUAGACAAUUUAUAAUACACUCCCCCCAAACUUAAACUAAACAUUGUCCCCAAGGUUAAAUUAAAAGAAAACGAUGAUUUGGUGCACUAAUGUUGAAUUUGAUGGACGUUUCUUCUAGCUUUCCCCCCAAACUUGAGAUUUAUCCAGCUUCUCCUUUUUCAAUGUUGUUUGAUUGAUCUGCGAUGUCAUGUUCCUGAAAAAUCACAAUGUAGAUAUUAAACUCAUGGAACAAGUGGUACUUAGCUCAAACAUCGAUAACCAACUUGAUUUUUCAAAAACCUAGGGGACUGGUAGGGUUGAUGAAUUCCUAAAUAACAACUCUGAAAUAAAAUAAAUUAUCCUAAAAUUCAAAAAAAGAAUAAAUAAAUAAAGAUAAAAGCUUGGGUUGCCUCCCAAGAAGCGCUUCUUUAUAGUCACUAGCUUGACUCAACCAAGGUGUCUACGGUGGAUCUUCGGGUGGAGCAUCUUUCUUGUUUCUGAAUUUUACCCUCGGCUUUGCAUUCUCCUUCACCGUAGCAUGACCAAUAAAAUCAGGCGGUUUGAACCUCGAUGUAGCCUUCAAAACCUCUUUUGGUUUGACAAUGUUUGAAGGUUUCAAAGGCCUAGCCACAUAGCCUUCUUUUUUGUCAGGUGGAUCAACUUCUUGGGUGAAUAUGAAAUCCACUACUUCUUCGACUCCCGAGUAUUUGCCAUCAGUAGAUGCAUCCCUUACUAAGUAAUUGAGAGCCAUAUAUUGUUCUAAAGGGUCAUAGAACACUUCAUUUUUUACUCUGUGACCUAAAACUGCUUCAGCCGAUUGGGCCAUAUUGCAAAUGUUGACUUUUUCUUGAGGCUUUUCUACUUGAUGGAUGUUGAAAGUCACAUGCUCUUCAUUAACCCGCAGUGUCAAUUUUCCUUCCUGGACAUCAAUCAAUGCUCUUCCAGUAGCUAGGAAAGGUUGACCAAGAAUCAACGGUAUUUUCUUGUUCUCCUUCAUGUCCAACACCACAAAGUCCACAGGAAGGAUGAACUUAUCGACCUUCACCAAUACAUCUUCAAUCAUGCCUUUGGGAUAUGUGAUUGAUCUAUCCGCCAGUUGCAAAGUGAGGGUUGUGUACUUCACUUCUCCAAGACCCAGCUUUUUGAACACUGAUAGGGGCAUCAGGUUUAUACUAGCUCCAAGGUCGCACAGUGCCCUAUCAAAUGUGAUACCACCAAUAUUGCACGGGAUGUUGAAGCUACCCGGAUCUUUCAAUUUUUGAGGGAGCUUCUGAACUAUGUCACUACACCCCUCUGUUAGCUUAAUUGUCUCGAACUCCUCCAGCUUCUUCUUAUUUGACAUCACUUCCUUCAAGAAUUUGGCGUAGUUAGGCAUUUGGGCCAAAUCUUCUGCAAAGGGAAUGUUGAUGUGGAUUUUCUUGAAGACUUCCAGGAAUUUUGCAAAUUGGUCAUCAAAUUUCUUCUUCAUGAACCUCUACGGGAAUGGUAGUGGGGGCUUCAAGAUUGGUGGGUUGUCCAGAAAUGAGAUCGAGUAAGGCUUAUAGAUCUUUGUACCCUCUGCCUCAGUUUUCUGCCUUUCACUCUGCCUUUCCUUUGUAACUCUGACAUCCGACGUAGGCACCAUAAUCUUCUUAGGUUUGCUUUCUUCAACCAUUUUACCACUCCUUAGGGUGAUCGCAUUGCAGUGUUCCCGUGGGUUAACCUCAGUGCCAUUGGGAAAUUCUCCUUUUUGCUGAGACUUCAUUGAGGUAGCCAAUUGGGCAAUUUGCACUUCAAGAUUCUUCAUUGUGGCUCCCAUGUUGGCCACAUGUGUUUCAAUAUUAUCCAACCGUAAUUCAUUUUUGUUGAAGCGUGAUCUCGUCUCAAAAAUGAACAUCCCAUGGAUGUCUUCCAAGGGUGGUUUCCCAUCAAAAUUCUGAGUGUUGAAUCCGAGUGGAGGUUGAAGUGUGUUUCUAUUGUUGCCAUAUGACAAGUUCUCGUGAUUCCUCAGCCCUGGAUGAUAGUGAUUAGCUUGGUAACUUUCUCUUUGAUUGUAGUUUCUACUGUCGACAUAUUGGGCCUGCUCGUUUGCAACCUCUGUCUCUUGGUGUGAAGAAGAAGUACUCAUGACUGAAAAUCUACCUUCUGUUGAUUUCCUUGAGUGGUAAGCGUGACUAUCUGAUUUGUGAGUGAUGCAACCUGAGCUGCUAGUGCGGUGAUGGGAUCCACUUCAUGAAUUCCUGCUACUUUCUUUACACCCGAUCUCUCACUUGGCCAUUGGUAACUAUUAGUGGCUAUGUUAUCCAAUAAAGCAUAUGCAGCCUCUGUUGUUUUAGCCAUUAAAAUGCAUCCCGCAGCCGCAUCUACCAUAGUCCUUGUUUGCCCAUUUAGACCAUUAUAAAAUAUCUCAAUUUGCACCCAUUUCUGGAACCCAUGUUGAGGACAUCUCCUAAGCAAAUCUUUAAAUCUUUCCCAGACUUUAUAGAAUGGCUCGAAGUCGAGUUGUUUGAAUUGGCUAAUUUCACCACGAAGUUGAGCUGAUUUAAAAGGUGGAAAGUACUUGGUGAGGAAUUUCUGAGCCAAAUCAUCCCAAGUUGUAAUUGAGCCAUGCGGUAGUGAUUGGAACCAAUUCUUUGCUUUAUCCCUUAAAGAGAAUGAGAAUAGGCAGAGUCUAAUUGCAUCUUCAGUAACCCCAUUCAUCUUUACUGUGUCACAAAUUUCCAAAAAGGACCCAAGAUGAGCAUUUGGGUCUUCUACUGCAGCACCCCCAAACUGAUUUUGUUGUACCAUAUGUAUCAACCCUGGCUUUAAUUCGAAAUUGUUUGCAGCAAUUGCUGGGCGUACGAUGCUGGAAUAGUUGUCAUUGACAACCGGCCUUAUGUAGUCUCAAGUAGCCCUUUGUUGGUUAUCCUCAUUGGCUGCUCUAACAUCAUGUUCUGCCAUUGCUUCCCGUUCGUUUCUUUGUAUGCCUCUGAGAAUGCGAAAUGUGCGUUCUGGUUCAGGAUCAACAGGUAGUAGAUCUAGAUUUCUCACCCGUCACAUAAACAGCUGAAAAUAAUCAAAAGGAAACUUUUAAAGAUAGACACAAAAGGAGUAAAAUAAAAAUAACGGUAAAAAUAAAAAUCUAGAGUAAAAUGAACGCCGAUUGGUAAUAAUAUCAAUUGAAUUCGAAUGAAUCAAUCCCCGACAAUGGCGCCAAAAACUUGCCACACGUUUUAUAUAACGUGAUUUUAUACUGCAAGCGCACGGUGUCAAGUUUUGUAGUAUAUUUAAGAAUUGAAAAGUGUCGAACCCACAGGGAUUGAUAUUCGACUUCCACUGGGUACUAUAAUUGUGUCCGCGUUUACUUUAUCUAGACAAUUGAGUGUUAAAUUAAUAUUUGAAUACUAAACUAACGUCAAUGAAUUAAAUAGUGCAAUAAAAGUGAGGCAAUUUCUAAAGACUAAGUCAAAUUUACGUAAUGUCUAGAGAAUGAUUUCACCGUAUUCUCGACAUAAUUCUCAAUCCCUAUAGAUAUUUCCAUCAACUAUUUCCCGAAUUCAUAGGCAAGAAUUCUAAAUUAAUUCUAUUUUCCUCUCUCGAGCGUCAAAUUUAGAACAUCAAUUCAUUCAAUUGGUGAUCAGGCAACUGAAAGCAUUAAGCAAGAACAAUACCAAUCAAUUCUGGAAAAUUAAAUGGAAAUACUAUAAGGAAAUUGAAUCAUGUCUCAAAUAGGUUACAUCAAACCCUAGAUUUAAUAACUUAGUUCAUGAUUGAAAAGAAGAACAUGAUAAAAUACAACUUAAAUCGCAUGAAGAAGAGAAAGAUAAGAAAAAACUCAGGUUGCUGCUCUAUUUCUCAAUCUUGUGGCUUGAUUUCUCAGUUUCUCCCUUCUUCUUCUCCAAAAUCGGGUCGAUCUUCUCUCAAUUUGUGCCUCUCUUUUUCUUGCCUCUUUAGCCGUCUAACCCCUUUCUCUUGUUCUUCAUCUAGGUAUUUAUAUUUUUCUAAGGGUCCUCAAGGGUUAGGGUAUGAUUUUUGGGCCAAAAAGAUACUUAAAAACUCGGGUUUUAACGUUUUGGGAACAGGCGCCGUGGCGCCCAAGUUUCUGCUCGUUUUUUCAUUCAUUGGGCACCAUGAUGCCAAUGCCACUGCUUUGCUUCUCUUCUCUUUGUUUUUCCAAGCCUAUUUUCCACUCAAAUCUUAUUCAAUACUUGCUUAUUCAUGCUCUAUUUCAUUGAUAAUCAUUUUUGCUCAUCACCGGCUCCCAAUAGUGGUAUUUUCUCGAGAGUUGUCCAAACUGCAAAACAACACU